rnacentral:rRNA from 1 species
UACGUAGGGUGCAAGCGUUGUCCGGAAUUAUUGGGCGUAAAGAGCUCGUAGGCGGUCUGUCGCGUCGGCUGUGAAAACUCGGGGCUCAACCCCGAGCCUGCAGUCGAUACGGGCAGACUAGAGUGCUGUAGGGGAGACUGGAAUUCCUGGUGUAGCGGUGAAAUGCGUAGAUAUCUGGAGGAACACCGGUGGCGAAGGCGGCAUCCUGGACCGGUAUUGACGCUGAGGCGCGAAAGCCAGGGGAGCAAACGGG